rnacentral:lncRNA from 1 species
AGUUGACACAGCAUAGGUUUCUGACACAGAAUGAAUGUGGUCUAAUGAACUUAAAAGUUAUUUUUUGCCUUUGAGCAAUUCACUAUGCUGUUGAAUAUUAAUCCUCUCAAAAAAAAUGUUUGAAGAAAUUUUCUUUUUAACUUUAUGAAAUCUGAAAUGAGAAAAUUUAAACCCCCCCCCCUUUUUUUUCACAUCCCCGUUUCCCUUUUUCCAAAACUGAUAUCAAUU